GUGCUCGCUUCAGCAGCACAUACACUACCACUGGAAUGAGACAGAGAUUAGCGUGGCCCCUGUGCGCGGUGACAUGCAAAUCUGUGAAGGAUUCCAUGUUUUU